rnacentral:rRNA from 1 species
GUGGAUUAGAUACCCUGGUAGUCCUAGCCGUAAACGAUGGAUACUAGGUGUCAGCGGUAUCGACCCCGCUGGUGCCGGAGCUAACGCGUGAAGUAUCCCGCCUGGGGAGUACGGCCGCAAGGUUGAAACUCAAAGGAAUUGACGGGGGCCCGCACAAGCGGUGGAGUAUGUGGUUUAAUUCGAUGCAACGCGAAGAACCUUACCAGGGCUUGACAUCUGAGGAAUCCUGCUGAAAGGUGGGAGUGCUCUUCGGAGAGCCUCAAGACAGGUGGUGCACGGCCGUCGCCAACU